rnacentral:rRNA from 2 species
GAUGAACGCUGGCGGCGUGCCUAAUACAUGCAAGUCGAACGAGUUCUCGUUGAUGAUCGGUGCUUGCACCGAGAUUCAACAUGGAACGAGUGGCGGACGGGUGAGUAACACGUGGGUAACCUGCCCUUAAGUGGGGGAUAACAUUUGGAAACAGAUGCUAAUACCGCAUAGAUCCAAGAACCGCAUGGUUCUUGGCUGAAAGAUGGCGUAAGCUAUCGCUUUUGGAUGGACCCGCGGCGUAUUAGCUAGUUGGUGAGGUAAUGGCUCACCAAGGCGAUGAUACGUAGCCGAACUGAGAGGUUGAUCGGCCACAUUGGGACUGAGACACGGCCCAAACUCCUACGGGAGGCAGCAGUAGGGAAUCUUCCACAAUGGACGCAAGUCUGAUGGAGCAACGCCGCGUGAGUGAAGAAGGCUUUCGGGUCGUAAAACUCUGUUGUUGGAGAAGAAUGGUCGGCAGAGUAACUGUUGUCGGCGUGACGGUAUCCAACCAGAAAGCCACGGCUAACUACGUGCCAGCAGCCGCGGUAAUACGUAGGUGGCAAGCGUUAUCCGGAUUUAUUGGGCGUAAAGCGAGCGCAGGCGGUUUUUUAAGUCUGAUGUGAAAGCCCUCGGCUUAACCGAGGAAGCGCAUCGGAAACUGGGAAACUUGAGUGCAGAAGAGGACAGUGGAACUCCAUGUGUAGCGGUGAAAUGCGUAGAUAUAUGGAAGAACACCAGUGGCGAAGGCGGCUGUCUGGUCUGUAACUGACGCUGAGGCUCGAAAGCAUGGGUAGCGAACAGG